UACGUAGGGUGCAAGCGUUGUCCGGAAUUAUUGGGCGUAAAGAGCUCGUAGGCGGUUUGUCGCGUCUGCUGUGAAAACCCGGGGCUCAACCCCGGGCCUGCAGUCGAUACGGGCAGACUAGAGUGCGGUAGGGGAGACUGGAAUUCCUGGUGUAGCGGUGAAAUGCGCAGAUAUCAGGAGGAACACCGGUGGCGAAGGCGGGUCUCUGGGCCGUAACUGACGCUGAGGAGCGAAAGCGUGGGGAGCGAACAGG
rnacentral:rRNA from 1 species